rnacentral:rRNA from 1 species
UACGGAGGAUGCGAGCGUUAUCCGGAUUUAUUGGGUUUAAAGGGUGCGUAGGCGGACUGUCAAGUCAGCGGUAAAAUUGAGAGGCUCAACCUCUUCCCGCCGUUGAAACUGGUGGUCUUGAGUGGAUGAGAAGUACGCGGAAUGCGUGGUGUAGCGGUGAAAUGCAUAGAUAUCACGCAGAACUCCGAUUGCGAAGGCAGCGUACCGGCAUCCAACUGACGCUGAAGCACGAAAGCGUGGGGAUCAAACAGG